rnacentral:rRNA from 1 species
UACUCCUACGGGAGGCAGCAGGGGGGAAUAUUGGGCAAUGGGCGCAAGCCUGACCCAGCAACGCCGCGUGAAGGAAGAAGGCUUUCGGGUUGUAAACAUCUUUGACAGGGGAAGAGCAGAAGACGGUACCCUGAAAACAAGCCACGGCUAACUACGUGCCAGCAGCCGCGGUAAUA